rnacentral:rRNA from 1 species
GACGAACGCUGGCGGCGUGCUUAACACAUGCAAGUCGAGCGGUAAGGCCCUUUCGGGGGUACACGAGCGGCGAACGGGUGAGUAACACGUGGGUGACCUGCCCUCAGCUCUGGGAUAAGCCUGGGAAACCGGGUCUAAUACUGGAUAUGACUCCAUGACGCAUGUUGUGGGGUGGAAAGCCUUGUGCGGCUGAGGAUGGGCCCGCGGCCUAUCAGCUUGUUGGUGGGGUGANGGCCUACCAAGGCGACGACGGGUAGCCGGCCUGAGAGGGCGACCGGCCACACUGGGACUGAGACACGGCCCAGACUCCUACGGGAGGCAGCAGUGGGGAAUAUUGGACAAUGGGCGCAAGCCUGAUCCAGCGAUGCCGCGUGUGUGAAGAAGGCCUGCGGGGUUGUAAAGCACUUUCAGUAGGGAAGAAAAGACCGAGUGCUAAUAUCACUCGGUCUUGUACGUUACUUACAGAAGAAGCACCGGCUAACUCCGUGCCAGCAGCCGCGGUAA